rnacentral:rRNA from 1 species
GAUGAACGCUAGCGGCAGGCUUAAUACAUGCAAGUCGAGGGGUACCCUUGCUGUAGCAAUACAGAUGCUUUCGACCGGCAAACGGGUGCGGAACACGUACAGAACCUUCCUUCGAGUGUUAUAUAGCCCAGGGAAACUUGGAGUAUGAUGUCAUAGGAUCAUAGAGUGGCAUCACUUAGUGAUUAAAGAUUUAUCGCUUGAAGAUGGCUGUGCGGCUGAUUAGGUAGUUGGUGUAGGUAACGGCUCACCAAGCCUUCGAUCAGUAACUGGUGUGAGAGCACGACCAGUCAAACGGGCACUGAGACACGGGCCCGACUCCUACGGGAGGCAGCAGUAAGGAAUAUUGGGCAAUGGAGGCAACUCUGACCCAGCCAUGCCGCGUGGAGGAUGAAGGUCCUCUGGAUUGUAAACUUCUUUUAUUUGGGAAGAAAUGCCAAUUUUCUAAUUGGUUUGACGGUACCAGAUGAAUACGCACCGGCUAACUCCGUGCCAGCCGCCGCCGUAAGAC